AGUGGCAGACGGGUGAGUAAUGUAUAGGAAUCUACCUAGUAGUACGGAAUAAUUGUUGGAAACGGCAACUAAUACCGUAUACGCCCUACGGGGGAAAGAUUUAUCGCUAUUAGAUGAGCCUAUAUUAGAUUAGCUAGUUGGUAAGGUAAUGGCUUACCAAGGCAAUGAUCUAUAGCUGAUCUGAGAGGAUGAUCAGCCACACUGGAACUGAGAUACGGUCCGGACUCCUACGGGAGGCAGCAGUGGGGAAUAUUGGACAAUGGGCGAAAGCCUGAUCCAGCCAUGCCGCAUGAGUGAAGAAGGCCUUUGGGUUGUAAAGCUCUUUCGGUGAGGAAGAUAAUGACGGUACUCACAGAAGAAGUCCUGGCUAACUCCGUGCCAGCAGCCGCGGUAAUACGGAGAGGGCUAGCGUUAUUCGGAAUUAUUGGGUGUAAAGAGCGCGUAGGCUGGUUAGUAAGUUAAAAGUGAAAUCCCAAAGCUCAACUUUGGAAUUGCUUUUAAAACUGCUAACCUAGAGAUUGAAAGAGGAUAGAGGAAUUCCUAGUGUANAGGUGAAAUUCGUAAAUAUU
rnacentral:rRNA from 1 species